rnacentral:rRNA from 1 species
UACGUAGGGUGCGAGCGUUAAUCGGAAUUACUGGGCGUAAAGCGUGCGUAGGCGGUUCCUCAAGUCCGUUGUGAAAGCCCCGGGCUCAACCGGGGAAUGGCAGUGGAAACUAGGGGACUGGAAUCUGGCAGAGGGGGGUGGAAUGCCGCGUGUAGCAGUGAAAUGCGUAGAGAUGCGGCGGAACACCGAUGGCGAAGGCAGCCCCCUGGGCUGAGAUUGACGCUCAGGCACGAAAGCGUGGGGAGCAAACAGG